rnacentral:rRNA from 1 species
UAGGUGUAGGCGUAGCGAAAGCGAGUCUUAAUAGGGCGACUAAGUUUGUUGGAUUAGACCCGAAACCGAGUGAUCUAGGUAUGAGCAGGUUGAAGGUGCAGUAACAUGCACUGGAGGACCGAACCCACGCCUGUUGAAAAAGGCGGGGAUGACUUGUGCCUAGGGGUGAAAGGCCAAUCAAACUCGGAGAUAGCUGGUUCUCCGCGAAAACUAUUUAGGUAGUGCGUCUGGUAUUACCGCCGGGGGUAGAGCACUGAAUGGGCUAGGGGGGCGCGAGCCUUACCAAACCUAAUCAAACUCCGAAUACCGGUGAGUACUGCGCGGGAGUCAGACUGCGGGUGAUAAGAUCCGUGGUCGAGAGGGAAACAACCCAGACCGCCGGCUAAGGUCCCUAAAUCAUUGCUGAGUGGGAAAGGAAGUGAGAGCGCUUAGACAACCAGGAUGUUGGCUUAGAAGCAGCCACCAUUUAAAAAGUGCGUAACAGCUUACUGGUCUAGUGAAUUCGCGCCGAAAAUGUAACGGGGCUAAGCAAUGUACCGAAGCCGCGGAGCCAUACUUUGUAUGGUUGGUAGGGGAGCGUUCCAUAUACGUUGAAGGUCUAUCGUGAGAAGGGCUGGAGUGUAUGGAAGUGAUGAUGCGGACAUGAGUAGCGAUAAACAGGGUGAGAAACCCUGUCGCCGUAAACCUAAGGGUUCCUGAGUCAAGCUAAUCUGCUCAGGGUUAGUCGGCCCCUAAGCCGAGGGCGAAAGCCGUAGGCGAUGGGAAUCAGUUUAAUAUUACUGAACCACUAGAUAGCCGUUUGACCGAAGGGGGGACGGAGAAGGAUAGCUGGGCCCGUUAUUGGAUUCGGGUGAACGUCAAUAGGCGGGAGGUGUAGGCAAAUCCGCACUUCUAUUAACGCUGAGGGGCGGGACGGUGGCCUUUUAGGCCCGUAAGUCAGUGAUUCCAUGCUUCCUAGAAAAGCCUCGUAGGGAGGUUGUCUGGUGACCGUACCGCAAACCAACACAGGUAGGUGGGCAGAGCAUGCCAAGGCGCUUGAGAAAACUCUGGCUAAGGAACUCGGCAAAAUGACACCGUAACUUCGGGAGAAGGUGUGCCCAUUUGAGUGAAGGACUUCGCGUCUGGAGCUUAGGUGGGUUGCAGAAACCAGGGGGUAGCGACUGUUUACUAAAAACACAGGUCCGUGCCAAGUCGCAAGAC